rnacentral:rRNA from 1 species
GACGAACGCUGGCGGCGUGCUUAACACAUGCAAGUCGAACGGAAAGGCCCUGCUUUUGUGGGGUGCUCGAGUGGCGAACGGGUGAGUAACACGUGAGUAACCUGCCCUUGACUUUGGGAUAACUUCAGGAAACUGGGGCUAAUACCGGAUAGGAGCUCCUGCUGCAUGGUGGGGGUUGGAAAGUUUCGGCGGUUGGGGAUGGACUCGCGGCUUAUCAGCUUGUUGGUGGGGUAGUGGCUUACCAAGGCUUUGACGGGUAGCCGGCCUGAGAGGGUGACCGGUAACAUUGGGACUGAGAUACGGCCCAGACUCCUACGGGAGGCAGCAGUGGGGAAUAUUGCACAAUGGGCGGAAGCCUGAUGCAGCAACGCCGCGUGCGGGAUGACGGCCUUCGGGUUGUAAACCGCUUUCGCCUGUGACGAAGCGUGAGUGACGGUAAUGGGUAAAGAAGCACCGGCUAACUACGUG